UACGAAGGGGGCUAGCGUUGCUCGGAAUCACUGGGCGUAAAGGGUGCGUAGGCGGGGCUUUAAGUCAGGGGUGAAAUCCUGGAGCUCAACUCCAGAACUGCCUUUGAUACUGAGGAUCUUGAGUACGGGAGAGGUGAGUGGAACUGCGAGUGUAGAGGUGAAAUUCGUAGAUAUCGAGAGGAACACCGGUGGCGAAGGCGGCCAACUGGACGAAUACUGACGCUGAGACACGAAAGCGUGGGGAGCAAACAGG
rnacentral:rRNA from 1 species